rnacentral:rRNA from 1 species
GACGUAGGGGGCGAGCGUUGUCCGGAUUUAUUGGGCGUAAAGAGCUCGUAGGCGGCUCGUUGCGUCGGCUGUGAAAACCCGCAGCUCAACUGUGGGCUUGCAGCCGAUACGGGCGGGCUGGAGUUCGGUAGGGGAGACUGGAAUUCCUGGUGUAGCGGUGAAAUGCGCAGAUAUCAGGAGGAACACCGGUGGCGAAGGCGGGUCUCUGGGCCACUACUGACGCUGAGAAGCGAAAGCAUGGGGAGCGAACAGG